CCUACGGGUGGCAGCAGUGAGGAAUAUUGGUCAAUGGGCGAGAGCCUGAACCAGCCAAGUCGCGUGAAGGAUGACGGCCCUACGGGUUGUAACCUUCUUUUGUCAGGGAGCAAUUGGGUCCACGCGUGGGCUUAGCGAGAGUAACUGAAGAAAAAGCAUCGGCUAACUCCGUGCCAGCAGCCGCGGUAAUACGGAGGCUGCGAGGGUUAUCCGUAUUUACUGGGUUUAAAGGGUGCGUAGGCGGAAUAUCAAGUCAGCGGUAAACAUUCGGGGCUCAACCCCGUCGUGCCGUUGAAACUGAUGUUCUAGAGUGGGCGAGAAGUAUGCGGAAUGCGUGGUGUAGCGGUGAAAUGCAUAGAUAUUACGCAGAACUCCGAUUGCGAAGGCAGCAUACCGGCGCCCAACUGACGCUGAAGCACGAAAGCGUGGGUAUCGAACAGGAUUAGAUACCCCAGUAGUC
rnacentral:rRNA from 1 species